CCGAUACAAUUACUAGAUUUCUUCUUUGCACAGCUUAGCCACACGUUAUGAAUAACUCAGGAAGAAUGUGCUAAUAGUUCAAAAUAUUUUUGUUCCAGCAAUCAAACCUGGAGCCCCGACCAUAAAACUUUUUGUUUCCGCUAACCGAUCCGCAUGCCGUCAUUCAACUGGAGGAUUUUGUUCGGAUAGAUCCCAACAUGAGACGCAAAUAUAUAAAAUUUCUGCGCCGCAUCAAAACUCCACGACAAAGCCUUGAAGAUACGUUUGGUAAAAUCUGCACCGAUCAAGCCAUCUUCCGUCACUUUAACUGGACGUCCAACAAGUCCUCCCAAUCUAUGACGCAGCGAGAAUCACUGCAGCAUUAUUGGAUAUUCACAGAUUGUUUGUUUGAGGCUUGGAGCAGUCACGGUUUGGCCAUGGAAACGUUGAAAUCAAAAAUGGCAAGCGUUAUCAAACGCAUCUAUGUUCGCAACAACGUGCGCAAUUUUCGAGCUAGGUCUAAGAUUGUAGAGCUUUGAAGAUUUCUAGGAUAUGAAUAAAUGUAGAAAAACGAUAUUUCCACUUUUGAAACUAAUUCUGAGAUUUGCUUAACAUUUAUCAUUCUAGAGAGUAACUUUUUUCUUAAUUUCAUGGUAUGGAAUCAGCUGAAACGCCCCAGAGAAAAUCACAUCGUGGAGUUACAUCGCAUUCCGCCGCUGGGUUCAACUUCCCUAUACGUUCUGAGCAAGCUAUAGAAGAGCUUGAAUCUUCCGUUCGAUGUAACGAAAAAUCCAGAAAGCAAUAUGUAAUGUUGAUUUGCUUUGGAUAGAAAAAAGAAGUAAAGCUCGAUUGUUCGUAACUUUUACACAUUUUUCAGAUUAGGUUCCUACGCUCGAAACUGACCGAUGAUCAAACCGUUUUCACCGUGUUUCAACACAUCUUUACCUACCAAUCUCUGGUCGGAUACUGCUGGACGAAGCGUUCCAACUUGGAAAGAAAAUCCAUGAGAGAUUAUGAAAUAUUCACUAGUUGCAUGUUGGAUGCCUGGCAGUGCAAGGGUGUAACGGAGGAAUCCCUAGCCGAGCACAUCCGUCACGUGAUCAGAAACGCAAAAAUAUCGCCAAGUUGCGGAAUCGGUUGCAAAGUCUCAACAAAAUGACCGGCAUGGCGUCGAGUCGACACGAAAAGAUGCAACUGGAGGUUCAAAUGUGUGACUUUAACAAGAAACUGCAGGAGUUGCUUAAAACUGCCGAGCUGCAGAAGCAGCGUUCUGCCGCCCAUGUUGAUGGUUUCCAUUUUCCGUUGAGUUCCAUGGUCGAAAUCGAACGAUUGGAGGAAGCCGUUCGGAAGGAUUUCGAUGUGAGGAAGCAAUAUGUACGCUACCUGUCGCUCAAGAAGCCCCCGACGAUGGACGUAACUAACUUUUUCUCGUAUCUCUUCACCGACGAUGCUCUGAUGGGCUACAACUACUCCGGAACCAACAACAUUGGCGAUUCAAAGAUGCCGAUGAGGAACUAUGAAAUUUUCAUCGAUUGUAUGAUAGAAGCAUGGGCUGAUCAUGGAUUGACGCACAUACUACUCGAGGAGAAGAUAAAACUUGUGGUGAGAAAGCUUACCGCUCGACGUCGCAUGCAGAAGUUUCGGCAGAGAAAAUCAAUGAAAGUUCAAACUUGUUAAAU